CUAGCAUGCUCCCUGCACAAGGAUGACACACGUAUUCAUGAAGCGUUCUGUAUUUUU
ensembl:snRNA U6 U6 spliceosomal RNA